rnacentral:rRNA from 1 species
GGGAAUUUUCCGCAAUGGGCGAAAGCCUGACGGAGCAAUGCCGCGUGAAGGAUGAAGGCCUAUGGGUUGUAAACUUCUUUUCUCAGAGAAGAAAUUUUGACGGUAUCUGAGGAAUAAGCAUCGGCUAACUCUGUGCCAGCAGCCGCGGUAAGACAGAGGAUGCAAGCGUUAUCCGGAAUGAUUGGGCGUAAAGCGUCUGUAGGUGGCUUAAAAAGUCUCCUGUCAAAGAUCAGGGCUUAACCCUGGGCCGGCAGGAGAAACUCUUAGGCUAGAGUUGGUAGGGGCAGAGGGAAUUCCCGGUGGAGCGGUGAAAUGCGUAGAGAUCGGGAGGAACACCAAAGGCGAAAGCACUCUGCUGGGCCAUUACUGACACUGAGAGACGAAAGCGAGGGGAGCAAAAGGGAUUAGAUACCCC